AAGUCGUAACAAGGUUUCCGUAGGUGAACCUGCGGAAGGACCAUUAGUGAGCCGGGAGGCGUUAAACCCGAACCACCAGCGUGAACCUCGGGGUCAGCCCCUCACAAACAAAUGAUGUCAAGAACGUGAAACAAUGAGAAACAAAA
rnacentral:misc_RNA from 1 species